rnacentral:rRNA from 1 species
GUGCCAGCCGCCGCGGUAAUACGGAGGGUGCAAGCGUUAUCCGGAAUCACUGGGUUUAAAGGGUGCGUAGGCGGCCUGGUAAGUCAGGGGUGAAAGUUUGCCGCUCAACGGUAAAAUUGCCUUUGAUACUGUCAGGCUUGAAUAGGCGCGAGGCAGGCGGAAUGUGACAUGUAGCGGUGAAAUGCAUAGAUAUGUCAUAGAACACCAAUUGCGAAGGCAGCUUGCCAGAGCCUUAUUGACGCUGAGGCACGAAAGCGUGGGGAGCGAACAGGAUUAGAUACCCUGGUAGUCCACGCCCUAAACGAUGCUUACUCGACGUGCGGUUUUCGGAUUGUGCGUCCAAGCGAAAGCGCUAAGUAAGCCACCUGGGGAGUACGCCGGCAACGGUGAAACUUAAAGGAAUUGACGGGG